rnacentral:rRNA from 1 species
UUACGGGUCGCUGCAGUGAGGAAUAUUGCACAAUGGGGGGAACCCUGAUGCAGCAACGCCGCGUGGAGGAUGACGCAUUUCGGUGUGUAAACUCCUUUUAUAUGUCAAGAAAAUGACGGUAGCAUAUGAAUAAGCACCGGCUAACUCCGUGCCAGCAGCCGCGGUAAUACGGAGGGUGCAAGCGUUAUUCGGAAUCACUGGGCGUAAAGGACGCGUAGGCGGGUUGGUAAGUCUGAUGUGAAAUCCUACAGCUUAACUGUAGAACUGCAUUGGAAACUACUAACCUAGAGUAUGGGAGGGGGAGAUGGAAUUAGUGGUGUAGGGGUAAAAUCCGUAGAUAUCACUAGGAAUACCGAAAGCGAAGGCGAUCUCCUGGAACAUUACUGACGCUAAGGCGUGAAAGCGUGGGGAGCAAACGGGAUUAGAUACCCUAGUAGUC